rnacentral:rRNA from 1 species
AUUGAACGCUGGCGGCAUGCUUUAAACAUGCAAGUCGAACGAGUGGCGCAAGGGUGAGUAAUACAUCGGAACGUGUCCGAUCGUGGGGGAUAACUGAUAGAAAGAUCAGCUAAUACCGCAUACGAUUGGAGCGGCCGAUGCCCGAUUAGCGAGUUGGUGAGGUAAAGGCUCACAAAGGAGACGAACGGUAGCUGGUCUGAGAGGACGAACAGCCACACUGGGCAGUAGACACUGCCCAGCCUCCUACGGGAGGCAGCAGUGGGGAAUUGUGGACAAGGGUGGCAACCCUGAUCCAGCCAUGCCGCGUGCAGGAUGAAGGUCUUCGGAUUGUAAACGGCGUUUGUCAGGGAAGCGGUACCUGAAGAAUAAGCACCGGCUAACUCCGUGCCAGCCGCCGCGGUAAUUC